CUUGCCUGCACAGAAGUAUCUAUCAAAUAGUGGCAAAAUUUACAGAGGCCCCCAUUUAAAAAGACUCAAAACCAAAUUCCACUUUGAGAGAAAAAUGUUGCAUUUAUACAAAUUCUAUUCCUGGCACUCGGAAAGCUGUUAAAAAGUGGGCAGGUCUGAUUUUAGUUCUUAAGUUGUUCCUUGUACCAGCCCAGUUUCAGCUCCUCCCAUCAAGGAAACAAAUCAACAGUCUGUGAAGCACACAGGUUAAAAUUUCUAAAGAUCUAUCAACUGAGGCUUUUUUUUCUGUCUCUUGCACAGGUUACCGGAAUACACAUAAGACUGAACAGAUUCAGAGGGAAAUUUCUCUUUUGCUCCUCUCCUAAGAACUGCAUUAAGUUAUACAGCAUCUCCUGGGAGCGAUUUUAAAGCUGCUUGUGUGCUAAUGUUGCUGAUAAUUCCACUCAAAACUGGUCAAGCUGUACUUCACUGCAAGAGAAGAACUCAAUCUACAUUCCUAGGUUAUUCCUUGCAGAACCCAGUCAAACUGUCAAAUCAAGAUCUCCAAAGUGACUCCGCCACUUUUUCAGCAACCGUCGCCGGGAGACGAAAACGCGGCCGCUGUCAGAGGGCGACUGAGAAAACAGACGCGCACUUUCAAUCCGACAUCCCCAAAGGCCAUCAGUUGUUUU